rnacentral:rRNA from 1 species
UUUGUAAUCUUACAGAAAGUGUUUUUCGUGCCGGCCCGGGGUCCCAAGUCCCUUGGGAAUAGGGUAUCAAAGAGGGUGACAAUCCCGUACUUGACACGACAACCGGUGCUCUGUGAUACACUUUCUACGAGUCGAGUUGUUUGGGAAUGCAGCUCAAAAUGGGUGGUAAAUUCCAUCUAAAGCUAAAUAUAGGCGAGAGACCGAUAGCGAACAAGUACCGUGAGGGAAAGAUGAAAAGCACUUUGGAAAGAGAGUUAAACAGUACGUGAAAUUGUUGAAAGGGAAACGAUUGAAGUCAGUCGUGUCUGUUGGUUUCAGCCGGUUCUGCCGGUGUAUUACCAACAGACGGGUCAACAUCAGUUUUGAGCGGUGGAAAAAGUUUAGAGGGAACGUAGCUCCUCCGGGAGUGUUAUAGCCCUUUUAUUGCAUACACUGCUUGAGACUGAGGAAAUGCAGCUCGCCUUUAUG